GACGUAGGAGGCGAGCGUUGUCCGGAUUCAUUGGGCGUAAAGAGCGUGUAGGCGGCCAGGUAGGUCUGCUGUGAAAACUCGAGGCUCAACCUCGAGACGUCGGCGGAAACCAUCUGGCUAGAGUCCGGAAAGAGGAGAGUGGAAGUUCCUGGUGUAGCGGUGAAAUGCGCAGACUAUCAGGAAGAACACCCGUGGCGAAGGCGGCUCUCGUGG
rnacentral:rRNA from 1 species